CAUAUUGCAGACCUAAAUCAACCAAGCUUAUAUUUGCUUGAUUCACUUAUAAAAGAGAAAAAUGACUACAGAGAAUAAACCAUUCCAGAAUGAAGGGUCUGUAUCUGCCCCUUCUAAUGCUCAUCAGAAACCGCCAGAAUUUGAUCUUAACUUGCGCCCAGGGGUUCAAAUAUCUAACAGGGUUGGGCGCAGCCCGCCGGGACUCCAGCAAGUGCACAACAACCCUCCUGGGAGCAGAACAAGUUUGGAAGAUCUAGCGGACUCCUUUGCCGCAGGAUUUACUGUCACAAAUACACCGAAUGAUACAAACAGACCGCAUCCAAGAUUCGCACAGUUUAAGAUGAAAACCAGUACAAUUCCACAGGAUGAAAGACGACGGCUUCUUCUGGAAUACCAAAAAUCUAGAAGAGACGACCUACUUAAUCACGCCAGAUGCCUGGCCCUGGGUGAGUUUGAGGAGGAAGAGGAGGAGGAGGGGGAGGAGGAAGAGAUGGAUACCACCACGGAGAUAAAACCAAGGCGGUUGUAUAAGAGCUAUAAGAACCAGCUAAUGCUCUCGGAGUGGUUAGUGGAGGUCCCUGACGACCUCGCGUCCUCAUGGAUUCUUAUUCUCUGUCCGGAGGGUCGUCGUAAUUUCGUGAUAGCAUCCAAUGGGUUAACCAAAGUGUACAGUAAGAGCGGGAAAAUGGUGAAGAAAUUUCCGUCUAAUCUCCCGGGAGGAAACAGAAAUCAGAUGAGAAGAAAUUCUUACAGUAUCCUGGACUGUAUAUACUCGGAUAAAUCCAAAAUGUUCUAUAUACUAGAUAUGAUGUGCUGGGAUGGAUUCCAGUACUAUGACUGUGAUACUGAGUUUCGUCUUUCCUGGGUUCAACAGAAAUUCAUCGAGAACAGAGAUCUGAUGAUGGAUAGUUCGAGAACUCAUCCAUACAGGUUUAUGCCUUUACCUAUAUAUCAGUGUACCCAGGACUCCAUCUCAUCUGCUCUUAACUCUUCCCUUCCAUUCGAGGACAAGUUGGACGGACUCCUUAUUUACCAUAAAAAUGUGCACUAUAUGCCCGGAAAGACCCCUCUUGUUGGCUGGUUGAAGGCCUAUAUGGUGCCCGAGCUUCUUAGUAUUCCGAUUUGUAAUGAACUAAUGGUGCAGCGCCCCCCUGACUAUGCAGGGAUGAAGGUGUUUUUAAAGAAAACCUACGACAAGGUCGAAAGGUUGAAGAAGAAUGAUGAAGAGGCUGCAUCACGUGAUACUGAGCAAGAAAUGGGCGAGAUGGCAUAAUUAAAUGCGUAUGCGCGCAAACUGGAAAUCAAAAUGGCUGACUCAAAACAAAUUUAGACACGAAUCAAGAUAACUUAUUUUUAAAAUAUUUCUCUGGUAGGAUGGGAUAAGAAAAGUAUCACAAAAUCAAAGGAGUGUUAAACAUUUAAAUUUUUUAUAUUCUAUGAGAUGAACGGAUUCAAAACCAAGGAUGUAUUGUAACUCUAGAGAAGCUUGGACAGUUGUGAACAAUUUUAUUGAUUCGGGGUAAUUGUAAAGUUUAGUACGGGGCAUAUAUUUGUAGAAAACUUAUUUCAAAAAUCCAUUUUCAAAAUAUUUUAUGGGUCUUUGACUAAAUUAGGGGAAACAAUUGAAUUUAGAUUUAAUAAGAUGUGAAAUUACAUAAUAUAUGUACACGGUGCAUGUUACAUUUCUGUUUUAUAGAGAUAAAUCAUGCUUUUUGAGAUGAGUGUUAAAAUAUUUAGAAUCCCGCUGUUAGUGCAGACCCAAGAAACCUACCUAAAUAAUUCUUUCAAAUAUUAAAACAAAAUGUUUGCUGAAGUAUUUUAACCCCUUUUUCUUGUAUCUUAAUCCAACUCAUUUCUCACUUUUUGUUGUUAAAUCUUCGCCAUUUUUGUUUUGUUAGUCCUGUGUUGUGAUAAUUCUCAUAAUAAGAGAGUAUUUGAAAUAUAUUCCAUUCUUUAA
rnacentral:misc_RNA from 1 species